rfam:TPA: Aspergillus nidulans FGSC A4 chromosome V
UUCCUCAUCCAAUCAAUCAACCAACCAACCAACCAUCUUCCACCGGUUUAUCUACCAACAAACACCAUCAACAUGUCUCCCUGCACCUGCAACUGCUGCUCCGGCGAGUGCAACUCCUGCUCUUGCAGCUCUUGCAAGGUCUGUCCACCUGUCU